rnacentral:rRNA from 1 species
UCACUUGUCUUCUAAAUAAAGACCAGUAUGAAUGGCUAAAUGAGGACAGACCUGUCUCCUGCACCCAAUCAGUGAAAUUGAUCUUCUGGUCCAAAAGCCAGAAUAAUAUCAUAAGACGAGAAGACCCUGUGGAGCUUAAAAUUUAAUGCUAUUUUAAAACUAGCACGCAUUUUAAGUUGGGGCGACUUCGGAACAAAAUAAAACUUCCGAGCAAGGAGCCACCCACUCCUAAUAAGGCCCACACGCCACCACAACAGACCCAGUCACACUGAUCAACGAACCAAGUUACCCCAGGGAUAACAGCGCAAUCCCCUUCAAGAGUCCAUAUCGACAGGGGGGUUUACGACCUCGAUGUUGGAUCAGGACACCCAGAUGGUGCAGCCGCUAUCAAAGGU